AAUCCGUGUUACGGACACUUUUCGCAGGAGUUCCUUGAACUGCUCCCAUGUCUCAAAUAGAGAUUCCAAUUCCAAUUUCAUAAAGGAUGAGAUCUCAUUCCUAAGCUU